UACGAAGGGGGCAAGCGUUGUUCGGAAUUACUGGGCGUAAAGGGCGCGUAGGCGGCUUAUCAAGUCAGGCGUGAAAUUCCCGGGCUCAACCUGGGGGCUGCGCUUGAUACUGAUUGGCUUGAAUGCGGGAGAGGAUAGUGGAAUUCCCAGUGUAGAGGUGAAAUUCGUAGAUAUUGGGAAGAACACCGGUGGCGAAGGUGGCUAUCUGGCCCGUAAUUGACGCUGAGGCGCGAAAGCGUGGGGAGCAAACAGG
rnacentral:rRNA from 1 species